rnacentral:rRNA from 1 species
GAUGAACGCUAGCUACAGGCUUAACACAUGCAAGUCGAGGGGCAUCGAGAGGUUAGCUUGCUAACCUUGUCGGCGACCGGCGCACGGGUGAGUAACGCGUAUCCAACCUUCCCCUUAGUAGGGCAUAGCCCGAUGAAAAUCGGAUUAAGACCCUAUGUUCUUCGUAGAUGGCAUCUGAGAUGAAGCAAAGGUUUACCGCUAAGGGAUGGGGAUGCGUCCGAUUAGGUAGUCGGCGGGGCAACGGCCCACCGAGCCUUCGAUCGGUAGGGGUUCUGAGAGGAAGGUCCCCCACAGUGGAACUGAGACACGGUCCAAACUCCUACGGGAGGCAGCAGUGAGGAAUAUUGGUCAAUGGGCGAGAGCCUGAACCAGCCAAGUAGCGUGCAGGAAGACGGCCCUAUGGGUUGUAAACUGCUUUUAUCAGGGGAUAAAGUGCGCCACGUGUGGUGUUUUGUAGGUACCUGAUGAAUAAGGACCGGCUAAUUCCGUGCCAGCCGCCGCAGUAAUAC